UGAGGCGUCCGGACUGGCCCAGAGAGGUGGGCAACUACCACUCAGGGCCGGAAAGCUCUCCAAACUCGGUCAUUUAGAGGAAGUAAAAGUCGUAACAAGGUCUCCGUUGGUGAACCAGCGGAGGGAUCAUUACCGAGUUUACAACUCCCAAACCCAAUGUGAACGUUACCAAACUGUUGCCUCGGCGGGGUCACGCCCCGGGUGCGUAAAAGCCCCGGAACCAGGCGCCCGCCGGAGGAACCAACCAAACUCUUUCUGUAGUCCCCUCGCGGACGUAUUUCUUACAGCUCUGAGCAAAAAUUCAAAAUGAAUCAAAACUUUCAACAACGGAUCUCUUGGUUCUGGCAUCGAUGAAGAACGCAGCGAAAUGCGAUAAGUAAUGUGAAUUGCAGAAUUCAGUGAAUCAUCGAAUCUUUGAACGCACAUUGCGCCCGCCAGUAUUCUGGCGGGCAUGCCUGUCCGAGCGUCAUUUCAACCCUCGAACCCCUCCGGGGGGUCGGCGUUGGGGAUCGGGACCCCUCACCGGGUGCCGGCCCUGAAAUACAGUGGCGGUCUCGCCGCAGCCUCUCCUGCGCAGUAGUUUGCACAACUCGCACCGGGAGCGCGGCGCGUCCACGUCCGUAAAACACCCAACUUCUGAAAUGUUGACCUCGGAUCAGGUAGGAAUACCCGCUGAACUUAAGCAUAUCAAUAAGCGGAGGAAAAGAAACCAACAGGGAUUGCCCCAGUAACGGCGAGUGAAGCGGCAACAGCUCAAAUUUGAAAUCUGGCCCCUCCGGGUCCGAGUUGUAAUUUGUAGAGGAUGCUUUUGGUGAGGUGCCGCCCGAGUUCCCUGGAACGGGACGCCACAGAGGGUGAGAGC
rnacentral:rRNA from 1 species